CACAAUUGUAGUGGGAGAAGUCAGGUGUUUUCAUCGAUAGUCCAAGUGACGUCAGUGCUAAACCAAAGGAAGCGACCAUUUGUAGUUUAGCAAUCCGUAUUCAGUCCGUUGCUGGCUGAAAUGAUAGUAAACCAACACAAAUAAACAUUUCCAAAAACAAAACAAAAAAAUAAAAUAAAGCAAGACGAAGUAUCAAAAUUCGCGGAUUUGUUUAUAUCGACACGAGAAGACAAAUAGAAAAGGGAAUCUAUCAAGAUGUUGACUUUAUCUCGACUCGGCCUUAUCACAAAUCUACAGAGGCUGACAACACGAGCUGUCUCCUCUGUCGUUCCGGAUGCGAAGGUCGAAGAGUUCACCGUUAAGAAUGAACCCGUACUCGAAUAUCUGCCCGGCAGCAAAGAGAGGAAGGAGCUCGAAUGCGCCCUGGAUAAGAUGGCAGGUCAGACUUGGGAGGUGCCGAUCAUCAUCGGCGGUGAAAAGCUAACUACGAAAGAAUGCCGCUUUCAAGUCAUGCCUCACAACCAUCAAAAAAAGCUUGCCAAGUUUUACUAUGCUUCAACAGACAUAGUUUUAAAAGCAAUAAAAAAGGCAAAUGAAGCUCAGAAGAGCUGGGAUUUAGUGCCUCUCAAGGAGAGGAUAGCCAUUUGGAGGAAAGCGGCCGACUUGAUGGCCACCAAGUAUAGGAUGGAGUUGAACGCUGCAACGAUGCUCGGCCAGGCCAAAACCGUUGUACAGGCUGAGAUUGACUCAGCAGCCGAAUUGAUCGACUUCAUCAGAUUCAAUGCAUAUUACGCGUCUCAAAUUGUCAAGUAUGCGCCUGUAAGUCCAGACCCGAAGGUGACAUUGAACUCGAUGAGAUACAGAGGCUUGGAAGGGUUCGUCGCCUCCGUCUCACCGUUUAACUUCACGGCCAUUGGUGGAAACUUGGCUUACACGCCGGCUCUUAUGGGUUGUUCAACGCUAUGGAAACCAUCGGAUACAGCAUUACUCUCUAACUACCUGAUCUACCAGGUAAUGACAGAAGCAGGCGUUCCACCAGGCGUUGUCAACUUCGUUCCCGCAGACGGCCCGGUUUUCGGUGAUGCAAUCACAUCUUCACCCACCCUUGCCGGAAUCAACUUCACGGGUUCAGUGCCGACGUUCAACAGGCUAUGGACUCAAGUAGGUAAAAACGUUGACAAGUAUAAGAACUACCCAAGGCUAAUCGGCGAGUGUGGAGGCAAAAACUAUCACUUUGUACACCCGAGUGCCGAUGUUGAAUCUGUUAUUUCCGGCACGAUUAGGUCUGCGUUUGAAUUCUGCGGUCAGAAGUGUUCAGCUUGCUCAAGGAUGUAUGUCCCUGAAUCUCUCUGGCCAAAGAUUAAAGAAGGACUUUUGGAAACAAGGAAGAAGCUGAAAGUAGGAGACGUCAGAGAUUUCGAUACAUUUAUGUCCGCUGUUAUUGACGAUAAGGCUUACAAAAGGAUAAAAGGAUACAUUGAAAUGGCGAAAAAAUCGGACUGUUUAGAAGUCCUGGGAGGUGGAAACUGUGUCGAUAAGUGUGGUUACUUCGUCGAGCCUACGAUUGUUGAGUCCAAAGAUCCUUUGAAUAAGAUAAUGACAGAAGAAAUUUUCGGACCUGUUCUUACCAUCUUUGUUUACGAUGAUAGUGAUAUCGAACAGACACUUGACCUUGUUGCUGACUCGACACCAUAUGCCCUGACGGGUGCUGUCUUUGCCCAAGACUUGAAAUUUCAAUCGUAUGCUUUGGAAAAACUCAGGAUGGUAUCCGGUAAUUAUUAUAUUAAUGACAAAUCCACUGGAUCUGUUGUCGCACAACAACCUUUCGGAGGUGGAAGAAUGUCAGGAACAAACGACAAAGCAGGUGGGCCGCAUUACAUCCUUCGUUGGACGACACCGCAAUCGAUUAAAGAAACUUUCGUCCCACUCAGAGAUAUCGUAUAUCCCUACAUGAAAAAAUAAAAAUACUACUUAAUAAAACAUUCUUAUUCAUGGGGACGUACUGUGAUACAGGGAAAGAAAGGCCAGGUUCAGAAUGGAUUCCGUAGCUGAUGUUAACCAUGGUUUAGAAAAUGUUACCACUUAUUUAUGUUUUUUCUUCAUUUUGAGGCACAGCUUUUUUUCAGUAUUGAUAUGCGGAAUCUCGUUUUAGUUAUUUUAUAUUUCACAUUUGUGUUAAUAAGUACCAACCUAUGAUAACAUAUAAUGUUUAGCGGAAAAAAAAAUAAAGAGAUUUGUAAGAAAAUAAAAUCAUAUUCAAUAGGUAUCUAUAAUUAAUAUUUAUAUUAAGUUACACAGGAAAUAGUUAAUGUAUAUUUACUUAUAACUGUUAAGUAUUGGCUAAAAAAAUACCUAAAACACAAAAUAAAUGAGUCACUUCAUUAUAGUUAUUCAUUUUUUAGUUUAUAAAUGUCUCCAUGUUUUUAGCACUGUGAGAUAGUGCUACAUGCUUUGCCUAUCAUAUAUU
rnacentral:misc_RNA from 1 species